UAUAAACAACUGUCCAAUUUUCCCGCUCAGAUCAACAUUACAGAAGAACCGAGAAAACUGAAGACAUUCAAAAUUCGGAUAGAGCAUAGCGAUGGCGAUUCCGGCAUGAUCUUGGGAAUACCCUAGGAACACCGCCGCCGCAGAGUUAUAAUCUAUUCACCUGCUACAGCAACUCAACAGGGUUCUGGAAAAGUUGGGAAGUGGAAAAGUAAAUUUUCUGUCUUCACAAAACCGUAAAUCAUAUGCAGACAGAUAACUUAGAAUGGAGGGGGCCUGCAGAGUCCUAGGAAUUUUAACGUCGUCCAGCUGCUAGCUGCUUUAAUUGCCCACGUACUGAGAUGUUGCACUUGCACGUCAGAGAGUAAGCACAGUAAAUGCAUUGUAUCAUGUCUUCAUCAUAUUAUUGCAACCAAUAUCUCCCCUUAACAUCAACUUGUUGUAGAUAGUAAACAAGAAUGGUAUGGUAGGUCAAUCUUUGGACUAAUGGCUGUGAUGGUAACUACAAGUUCAUCAGAUAUUGGUUACGAGUUUCUUUCGUUAUUCAA